GGUUGAUGUGGUGGCAGAAGGUUUCAUCCAACUUUUGAACGAUGAAGAUAAAGUCGGAGAGGCGAUGAGAAUCUCUGUUCAAAAUAGAAUUGAUUAUCACACAUUUUCGGAACAAAAUAUCCCACUUUAACAAAUUUUUAAUUUUAAUUUCAAGCAAAUUAAUUUCAACUAUAUCGUUACUUUUAAUAAAGUUCACUCAAGCUCUUUCUAAAAUUAGUUCUUGCUAAAUUAUUUCUUACUGAAAUGGUCAUGCGGCGUUAAAAUGCCAUCUGAGGCCCGAGGGAAGCAGACAUCCAAAUAUGAAAAUAAAUAUAUUUUAUAGUUAUGUCAUUCUUCAUUAUCAUGCAUG